AUUGAACGCUGGCGGCAGGCCUAACACAUGCAAGUCGAACGGAUCCUUCGGGAUUAGUGGCGGACGGGUGAGUAACGCGUGGGAACAUACCCAAAGGUACGGAAUAGCCUCGGGAAACUGGGAGUAAUACCGUAUGUGCUCGAAAGAGGAAAGAUUUAUCGCCUUUGGAUUGGCCCGCGUUGGAUUAGGUAGUUGGUGGGGUAAUGGCCUACCAAGCCGACGAUCCAUAGCUGGUUUGAGAGGAUGAUCAGCCACACUGGGACUGAGACACGGCCCAGACUACUACGGGAGGCAGCAGUGGGGAAUUUUAGACAAUGGGGGAAACCCUGAUCUAGCCAUGCCGCGUGAUCGAUGAAGGCCUUAGGGUUGUAACGAUCUUUCAGGUGGGAAGAUAAAGACUGUACCACCAGAAGAAGCCCCGGCUAACUCCGUGCCAGCCGCCGCCGUAA
rnacentral:rRNA from 1 species